GCCAGACUCCUACGGGAGGCAGCAGUGGGGAAUAUUGCACAAUGGGGGGAACCCUGAUGCAGCGACGCCGCGUGGGUGAAGGAGUAUUUCGGUAUGUAAAGCCCUAUCAGCAGGGAAGAACAAUGACGGUACCUGACUAAGAAGCACCGGCUAAAUACGUGCCAGCAGCCGCGGUAAUACGUAGGGGGCAAGCGUUAUCCGGAUUCACUGGGUGUAAAGGGAGCGUAGACGGCGACGCAAGUCUGGAGUGAAAGCCCGGGGCCCAACCCCGGGACUGCUCUGGAAACUGCGUCGCUGGAGUACGGGAGGGGCAGGCGGAAUUCCUGGUGUAGCGGUGAAAUGCGUAGAUAUCAGGAGGAACACCGGUGGCGAAGGCGGCCUGCUGGACUGCAACUGACGUUGAGGCCCGAAGGCGUGGGGAGCAAACAGGAUUAGAUACCCUGGUA
rnacentral:rRNA from 1 species